UAAUACGGAGGGCGCAAGCGUUGUUCGGAAUCACUGGGCGUAAAGCGCGUGUAGGCGGCCGGGCAAGUCGGAUGUGAAAUCCCGAGGCUCAACCUCGGAACUGCACUCGAAACUGCUCGGCUCGAGUCCCGGAGAGGAUGGCGGAAUUCCCGGUGUAGGGGUGAAAUCCGUAGAUAUCGGGAGGAACACCAGUGGCGAAGGCGGCCAUCUGGACGGUGACUGACGCUGAGACGCGAAAGCGUGGGGAGCAAACAGG
rnacentral:rRNA from 1 species